UAUGUAUAUAUCUGGUACCACUCUCUUGUCCACUCACGCUGCUCUCUUUCAAUUCAGAUUGCAUUAGCAUUCAUUACAAUUCCAAAUUCUCUCUUGUUCACUUUCAUUUUCUCUUUACAGCAAACCUCAUCAUGUUCCAUUCUUCUUCUUCUCCCAAACGUUCAGCAACUACAUCACCAAUUUCUCCUUCUUUUUCCUUGUAUGCGCAGCACCUUCAUCACCUCCUUCUCAUCUCCUUCCCAUCACCAUUAAGACACCAUCACCACUUCUCUUUUCUCGUUCCUUUUCUCCCCUGCUGCAUACUUCAUGCUUUUUCUCUUCCUCUCCACGAGACCACCAUCCCCAUGAGCCACCACCACACACAAAAGCUCCAACCAUGGCCACUUCAAACAGCCAUGAACCCGCGAGCACCACAGCCACCGCUGGUCACCAUCACCAUUUCUUCUUCCUCUAUCUUUUUCUCUCUUUUCCUUCCCCUGGGCAGCAUAAAAAAAUGCACAUCAUGGUCCCUCUUCCCUCCCUCACGUGAUUUCUCUCUUGUGCAGCACCAUGUCUUCAUCUUCCUAUUCUAUGGGUACGAAGGACGAAAGCGCCUUGCGACGAAGCUAAGGAAUAAAAGGAAGCGAGCCGACACGGGAAAGAAAGGAUGUGAUUGGAUUGGAGUUGCAGUUUAGGAAGAAAAUUGGCUAAGGCGAUGGAGGACUGUCGAUGAAACUUGACCUUUGCACGAGUCGGAGCUGAAGACUUGAAGAUUAGUGGAAGACACGAAGAAUAGAGUCGGGUUUAAGGUUAGAGCCUUGGGUUAGAGAGCUUACCGUUAUUGGUUUAAGCUUGCCUAAUAAUUUUUAGGAAUUUGCAUUUGAGAUUCGGGUAGGUUCCGAUGCAUUGCUUUCUUGCGGUUCCCCGGUGUGGAGAUCGUAGGGAGUAGGUCGUAUUAGGGUGUCGUGGCAUAACAGAUUCCUUAUUGGAUCUGAUUUCAUUCGUUAGAUUUGUAGUUGUGUUCUUUCGUUCAUACAUUCGGGAACUUGUCUUGGUUAAGGCUUGAUGUAGAUUUUAUUUACUGUUGGGUGUAGGCAUUACAUGUUUUGAAAACAAUUCAAAAGAAAAAAAUAUUACUCGCUUUAUAAAUUCAUUUGGA